rnacentral:RNase_P_RNA from 1 species
AGUGGGCUGGACGGUCGCUGCUGUGGAGGUCUCCGUGACUGAAGCAGGGGAGGAAAGUCCGGGCUUCAUAGGGCAGGGUGCCAGGUAACGCCUGGGCGGCGAAAGCCGACGGCAAGUGCAGCAGAGAGUAGACCGCCUCAUUCGUGAGGUAAGGGUGAAAGGGUGCGGUAAGAGCGCACCGCGUGUCUGGUAACAGUUCACGGCAAGGUAAACCCCACCAGAAGCAAGACCAAAUAGGAAUCCUGAGGUACGGCCCGUACUGGAUUCGGGUAGGUCGCUUGAGCGUAUGAGUGAUUGUACGCCUAGAGGAAUGAUCGUCCUCGACAGAACCCGGCUUAUAGGCCCACUUC